UACAGAGGUCCCAAGCGUUGUUCGGAUUCACUGGGCGUAAAGGGUGCGUAGGCGGUCGGGUAAGUCUGAUGUGAAAUCUCACAGCUUAACUGUGAAACUGCAUUGGAUACUAUCCGGCUAGAGGAAUGGAGGGGAGACUGGAAUACUUGGUGUAGCAGUGAAAUGCGUAGAUAUCAAGUGGAACACCAGUGGCGAAGGCGAGUCUCUGGACAUUUCCUGACGCUGAGGCACGAAAGCGUGGGGAGCAAACAGG
rnacentral:rRNA from 1 species